rnacentral:rRNA from 1 species
GCCAGCAGCCGCGGUAACACCGGCGGCCCGAGUGGUGAUCGUGAUUAUUGGGUCUAAAGGGUCCGUAGCCGGUUUGGUCAGUCCUCCGGGAAAUCUGAUAGCUCAACUAUUAGGCUUUCGGGGGAUACUGCCAGACUUGGAACCGGGAGAGGUAAGAGGUACUACAGGGGUAGGAGUGAAAUCUUGUAAUCCCUGUGGGACCACCUGUGGCGAGGGCGUCUUACCAGAACGGGUUCGACGGUGAGGGACGAAAGCUGGGGGCACGAACCGGAUUAGAUACCCGGGUAGUCCCAGCCGUAAACGAUGCUCGCUAGGUGUCGGGCAUGGCGCGACCGUGUCUGGUGCCGCAGGGAAGCCGUGAAGCGAGCCACCUGGGAAGUACGGCCGCAAGGCUGAAACUUAAAGGAAUUGGCGGGGGAGCACAACAACGGGUGGAGCCCUGCGGUUUAAUUGGACUCAACGCCGGACAACUCACCGGGGGCGACAGCAAUAUGUAGGCCAAGCUGAAGACUUUGCCUGAAUCGCUGAGGAGUGGUGCAUGG